rfam:Sphaerobolus stellatus SS14 unplaced genomic scaffold SPHSTscaffold_98, whole genome shotgun sequence.
GGCGAGAUGGCCGAGUUGGUCUAAGGCGUGAGACUAAGGUUGUUUAUCUCAUCUCUUCGGGGGCGUGGGUUCAAAUCCCACUCUCGUCA